UACGUAGGAGGCAAGCGUUGUCCGGAAUUACUGGGCGUAAAGAGUGUGUAGGCGGUGCUCCCAGUCUGUUGUGAAAUCUCCCGGCUUAACUGGGAGGGUGCAGCGGAAACUAGAGUGCUAGAGGGUGGGAGAGGUAAGCGGAAUUCCUGGUGUAGCGGUGAAAUGCGUAGAUAUCAGGAGGAACACCUGUGGUGUAGACAGCUUACUGGACCGCUUCUGACGCUGAGACACGAAAGCGUGGGUAGCAAACAGG
rnacentral:rRNA from 1 species